AUUUACCAAGCCAGACCAAUGAUGCAUCUAGCUCAGCCUCACCAGCACUGACUGGCAGUGGCUCUCCAAGGUUUCAGAUGGGGCAUUCCCAGCCCUACCAGGUGACACCAGGGAUUGAGGUAAAGGUAAAGGGACCCCUGACCAAUAGGUCCAGUCGUGGCCGACUCUGGGGUUGCGGCGCUCAUCUCACUUUAUUGGCUGAGGGAGCCGGCGUACAGCUUCCGGGUCAUGUGGCCAGCAUGACUAAGCCACUUCUGGCAAACCAGAGCAGCGCAC